CCGUGCCCAAGAGAUCGUGAUAACACCUGGAAACAGAUGCUAAUACCGGAUAACAACAGAUGAUGCCUAUCAACUGUUUAAAAGAUGGUUCUGCUAUCACUCUUGGAUGGACCUGCGGUGCAUUAGCUAGUUGGUAGGGUAACGGCCUACCAAGGCGAUGAUGCAUAGCCGAGUUGAGAGACUGAUCGGCCACAUUGGGACUGAGACACGGCCCAAACUCCUACGGGAGGCAGCAGGC
rnacentral:rRNA from 1 species